CUAAACUGACAACGGAGUGAAGAGCAGAAAUUCCAACUAGCAAGCAAGUCGCAGCAAUGAAGAUUUGUGUGUGGUGCGCGUUCACGCGAAGGGGGUGGGGGAUUUUCGGCACAACACCGGUUUUCGGUUCAGAACCAUUCGCUCAGUCCAGUCACUCAGCCCUGUCUAGAAGCUCUCAAGGUCCUUCAUUACUUCCUCCUACAACACCCUGAUGAGAAGCAAAAAGCCUGGCACCAUGACUUUCACACUCAGAUGGUAUUGUAGGCUGAUUGAUGGCACUGUUUGAGGGACAACUGGACAGAACAUAUCAGAAUGCUUGGACCUCAGCUGAAACCCUCCUCCCCUUCCCUAUCGUUCAAGGAAAGCCCCUUCUUUACACUUCCUGUUUGGAAUGAUGCUUUCAAGGAUACAUUAUGGGGAAGUUGCUUUGCCGUUGGUACCAAUCCCACACUGCCAGGCUGUCGGACAACAUCAAUGAAUUUAUCCCCCUCAUCCUAAACUUUUUGCUACCUCUUGUUCAACUGCUCUUUGAUUAGAUUGGUUUAAUUAAAUGUUUACAUUCGC